CGAACCCUUGAGGUUAGUGGCGAACGGUCGAGUAACACGUAAGCAACCUGCCCGGAAGCGGGGGAUAAGCCGUCGAAAGACGGGGUAAUACCGCAUACCUUGCCCUUGGACAUCCUCGGGUAAGAAAGAUUUAUCACUUCCGGAGGGGCUUGCGGCCUAUCAGCUAGUUGGGGGGGUAACGGCCCACCAAGGCGACGACGGGUAGCUGGUCUGAGAGGACGAUCAGCCACACUGGGACUGAGACACGGCCCAG
rnacentral:rRNA from 1 species